UCAUCAGAAUCCUUGAUAUGUUUACAAACAAGCACUACUCAUUUAACUCGAUUACAUUAGAAAACGUGGCAGGUUUAAUAAAUCUACAGUUAAAUGACGAAGAUCGAUAUAAUUUGCUUAAAUUAAUUAAGGAGUAUCGAGACUGUUUUGCCUUAAAUCUAAAUAAAGUUGUUGGAAUGGAAAGACCGACGUAGCUGACUUAAAAAUAAAACUGAAUGAUGACAAACCAAUCCCUUAUCGACCUUAAAGAACGGCUUACAAAAAUCAUGAAACAAUUCCAGAUAUAGUACAGGACCUUUUGGCAAAUAAAAUAAUACAAGAAUCUGAUUCACCCUCUGCCAGUCUCCUUGUUAAGAAAAAUGGGGAGAAGCGAAUGUGCAUAGAUUACAAGGCUUUUAAUAAGAAAUCAAGAGCAAACUUUUUCCCUACGUGAGACUUAGCAUCUGGUUACCAUCAAAUUGCCGUAGAAAAAAAAUCUGUUCCUAAAACGGCAUUCGUAAUGCCAGAUGGCCAUUCCGAAUAUCUGAGGAUGCCAUUUAAUUUGGUUAAUGCCUCUGCGCUAUUUUAAAUAGUUGUAAAUAAAAUAUUAGGUCCACUAAGAUAUGAACCUGCUUGGCUUAUAUUGA